CCUGAAGGGAUAAAAAGUUACUUCUGGUAUGAAAUGUAAUGAGACAAAACUCAUUAAAGGAAAAAUGUUCAAAACAAAUAAGGAAAAUGCCUGCACUAUUUGAAAUACUUUUGUUAUAGCUCUUCCACCUUUCAAUUAAUAAAGAAAAAGACUUGCCUAGAGAUAGCUGGUCAGUGUUGUUGACUAUACUGCAUCACUAGGUAUGAAAAUGUGGAGGUUGAACUUGCAAAUCUUUUGUCAUUUCCCAUUCAUGACUGUUCAUUAGCUCUUUCCUGCAAUAUUGCUGACUUGAUUAACUAUAUCUAUGGUAAUAGGUUAUAAUGUGUGGCAGAUCUGUAAAACAGCAAUGAAUACAUCAACUUGCCUUUUGUAAUGUUAAUUGCAACAAUGAAAUCUUUGCUAAAAAAUCUACAUUAUCUCUGAAUUAGGAAGACAACCCAGUUGUGGUAGAAGACCUUCUGGGAGCUGCCCAUUUUGGUAGAAAAGAACAGUGACAUCUUCACAGAAACAGCCAGUGAAGAUCAAGAAGUUGGAGUAAUUCUCAACCAUGCACGCAAAAAAUAUGAUAAAGCCAUCACUGGACUCUUGAAAUAUGGGAAAUAAGGUGGUUAUAAAAUGCCCAAACCUAACAGGUAUAGCAUUUCUGAGGACAAAAUUCAGAGUUCUUUAAUGUUUUCUAAUACUGGAAAUUUUUAGUAAUUAUUAUAGCAGCUUUCAGUUAAGUACCUCAAGUUAUCUAAUUACUGUAGGUAAUGGUCCUAAUAUUACCAUUGUACACAUGAAGACAUUUGAAAACUCAAAGGUCUAUUACUUGACCCUUUGUAAUGAAAUACAAAGUCUGGGUUCUGCUGGCAGUUUGGUUGGUGACUCCCGGUCUAAGGGGCACGUAAUGAAAGAGAUGUUUCCUAGGAUCUUUCACAUAAAAUUUGCAAUCAGCACAUCCCUUGUAAGUUAAUGUAUGUGAAUCACAACUUUCCAUAUUAGUUAAAAAAAAGUCUCAGACUAAAGGUAUAAAUUAUAUACCCCUAUGGUUCCACCUCCUGUGAAAGUGAAAUGAAAUAUACAAGGUUCACUAACUAUGACAUCUAUACCUUCUAAUUUUCCAGAUUUUACAUGAAUAAUACUAACCUGAAACAGUAGCCAAAAAAAAUCAGUAAUAUACACAAGUUGGUCUAAAACCAGAAAUCAUUUUCCUAAGGAGACAUGGAAGAAACAAUAUUCUGACUUUGCUAAAUCCUGGUUAUACUGACUUCAUGUGCUAAGUCUCUUUUAAAGUUAUUUUGGAAGAUUUUUAAGUCAGCUGGUCAGGUCUACAUAUUCUUCAUACGUAUCUUUGGCAACAAGGAUAAAAACAAGUGCUAGAAAACCUUUACAAUAUUUUCUAAAACUCAGUAGCAACUGCUGAGUUCUUCUGAACUUGAAAACCCACCAGUGAUCACGGUGCAUUUAUCUGAUUUCUGCCAGCUGUACCACAGCAUUAGCAGACAACCUCACAUGAAAUGAGCACUCCCAUUAGUGUUCUCCAUUGAUGGGUUUUGAAGGGGAAUGUGUUGCUCUGACAUCUUCGCUUUUGAUCUCUGCACAGUGUAUGCUGGAGACCCACUGCUAAACAAGUUUUAAUCCCAUAAUCAUGCCACGGAAACUAACACACUUGAUGGUUACUUUCCAAGAAAUACAGCGAAAGAAAUUAAGAUCAUAAAAAUAAUUGAUUAGUAUAAGGUCCUCUUAUAUUAAUUUUUUACUUGGUCUGCCUUUCUCCUUCCACAGAGCAACAUCCCAGGGACAUCCUCUGGUCUCCCUUUUGCAGCCAGUGCUUUGAGGCUCACAGGCACCAGCUGCCAUGGAGCAUCUCUGCUCUUGCGCUGGGAUCAGGAGGCAGCUGUUCUCUAACACCAGAGACCUCGCCUGUGAUGUGAACUCCAGGCACCAUGGAAAUGUGUAUCCCUCAUGAUUGACAGAAAAGCGUAAGCAAUAAAGCCAAGCAUGCUGGAGACCGACAGGCAAACCCAGUGUGUGAAGCCUGA